rnacentral:rRNA from 1 species
UACGUAGGGUGCAAGCGUUGUCCGGAAUUAUUGGGCGUAAAGAGCUCGUAGGCGGUCUGUCGCGUCUGGUGUGAAAACUCAAGGCUUAACCUUGGGCCUGCAUCGGGUACGGGCAGACUAGAGUGCGGUAGGGGAGACUGGAAUUCCUGGUGUAGCGGUGAAAUGCGCAGAUAUCAGGAGGAACACCGGUGGCGAAGGCGGGUCUCUGGGCCGUAACUGACGCUGAGGAGCGAAAGCAUGGGGAGCGAACAGG